rnacentral:rRNA from 1 species
UGAACGCUGGCGGCGUGCCUAAUACAUGCCCGUCGAGCGAACAGACGAGGAGCUUGCUCCUCUGACGUUAGCGGCGGACGGGUGAGUAACACGUGGAUAACCUACCUAUAAGACUGGGAUAACUUCGGGAAACCGGAGCUAAUACCGGAUAAUAUAUUGAACCGCAUGGUUCAAUAGUGAAAGACGGUUUUGCUGUCACUUAUAGAUGGAUCCGCGCCGCAUUAGCUAGUUGGUAAGGUAACGGCUUACCAAGGCAACGAUGCGUAGCCGACCUGAGAGGGUGAUCGGCCACACUGGAACUGAGACACGGUCCAGACUCCUACGGGAGGCAGCAGUAGGGAAUCUUCCGCAAUGGGCGAAAGCCUGACGGAGCAACGCCGCGUGAGUGAUGAAGGUCUUCGGAUCGUAAAACUCUGUUAUUAGGGAAGAACAAAUGUGUAAGUAACUAUGCACGUCUUGACGGUACCUAAUCAGAAAGCCACGGCUAACUACGUG